AAUAACCAAAUAUAGUACCUGGAUUAAGCGUAAGGUUCGUAAUUUUUCUUACAUCUCCACCACCGGGAGCCCAGGUAUCAUAUAUGCCACCAAAAUAAAAAGCCUUGAACACUAGGAGAAAGGCACCAGCACCUAGCAAGAUUAGGUGAAUACCUAAAAUUGUGGUCAUUUUGUUCCUAUCUUUCCA
rfam:Agathis australis photosystem II D2 protein (psbD) and photosystem II cp43 protein (psbC) genes, partial cds; chloroplast.